rnacentral:rRNA from 1 species
GAAGAACCUUACCAAAUCUUGACAUCCUUUGACAACUCUAGAGAUAGAGCCUUCCCCUUCGGGGGACAAAGUGACAGGUGGUGCAUGGUUGUCGUCAGCUCGUGUCGUGAGAUGUUGGGUUAAGUCCCGCAACGAGCGCAACCCUUAAGCUUAGUUGCCAUCAUUAAGUUGGGCACUCUAAGUUGACUGCCGGUGACAAACCGGAGGAAGGUGGGGAUGACGUCAAAUCAUCAUGCCCCUUAUGAUUUGGGCUACACACGUGC